GUACUUCAUUACUGUAAGUCGCUUUGGACAAAAGCGUCUGCCAAAUGAAAUGUA
rfam:Astyanax mexicanus chromosome 7, whole genome shotgun sequence.